CCUGGCGUCCCCGCAUCACCUCCCGCCGUCGCCGCCGUCGCCCUCGGCCGGCGGCCGCCGCCGUCUGGAGGCGGCGAUGACUCAGGCCUUUACCGCGCCGGCCGCUGGCGGAGCCGGAAGCGCCCAACCUCGGGGUGCCGGGGGGUCCUGAACUGUCUCGACCCCACUGAGAAACAAGUUCUGCUCAUAGGUGAUCUCCAGCGAGGACCACUCCGGUCUGUCUCAGUUUCCACAUCUGUAGAGUGGUCCUGGGACCUGGUGAGUCAGGUCUGCCACUGAACUUGAAGCUUCCUGAUUCGGCUAAGCUGGCCAGUCUAGGAGCCGCAGAGUGCCUCCUGUCUCAGCCUCCCCAGCAGUGGAGGGCAGGCAUGCCCCAUCCGACUUUUGAUUUAGCUGUUGGGCAUCUGAACUUGUUCUUGGACGGUCUUUCCACCUUCCCGUACUCCCUGAUUCUGCGCAUUUAUUUGGCUCCUGUGGGCCUGUUCAUGUCCUUCACUCAAGUCUCUGCCAUGGUGGGGAAUACAAAGUGUUGCCACUGCUUGAGCUACAGCUUAGUAACUCUGAGAAAGCUAAGCAGGAGUUAUCAGCAAACUCAAGGAUCCAUCUACCCCAGAGGAAUCAAGAGCAUUAGCGCCUGCUUCUUUGGGAUUCCAGCAUACACUGAAGAGCAGCUGAGUCAUCCAGCCUUGGGGACUGAAGAGCAACUGGAUUCUUGGACUUUGCAUUGGUAGACGGCCAUCGUUGGACUAGCUGGACCACAGCCUGUCAUUGCUGCUCUCAGCCUUAUCCAGAGAAACAUCUCUCUGCAGCGUGCAGCAGUUAAUGCAGACUCAUAACUGUGCAAAGUGCUGAACACAGUCACUGUUGAGCGUCAGCACUAAAUGGGACAUCUGUAACAAACUGCCCGGCCCAACCCCCAGACCCAAGACUCAGGGAUCAUCCCAGGAGAGGAGGCAGAGGAUGGGGAAGAAUGCUGUGACAUGCUGGACAUGGCGUGCCAUUGCAUUCACGAACUUACUGUAGCUAUGGCCACCUACACAAGACCCGAACAAGAUCAACAGGAAGCCCUGACCAGUGUCUGUGGGCUUAAAAACAUAGGAAAGAACACAGAGCUGGAAAGGAAAUGUGUUGGGGGGUGGACUGGGGGGAAAGUGGGACAGGGGAGUUGGGAGUGGGCAUGAGCAAGACAUGUUGCACACAUGUAUGAAAUUGUCAGAGAAUAAAUAAAAGAUAGUUUUUAAAGAAGAAAAAAACUAAGUAUGCUGGUACAUGCCUGUAUCCCGGGCAGGAGCAUCUGUGCAGCUUAGUAGCCAGCCAGGCCAGCCUACUUGGUGAACUCUGGGUCAGAGAGACUGUCUCCAAAAAUUAAAGUGGCUGACUCCUGAGGGAUGACACUCAAGGUUGACUUCUGACCUCU